rnacentral:ncRNA from 1 species
AGCGUCGCGUCGGGCGCCUUAAGAGCGUCGCGUCGGGCGCCUUGCUUGGCUGAUAAGCCAAUGGUGCGAAGCUACCAUCUGAGGGAUUAUGACUGAACGCCUCUAAGUCAGAAUCCCGCCUGGAAAGCGACGAUGCAUUCGUGCCUCGGCCUCGAGAGGCGUAGCUAGACGGCCGCGUGGCCGUGGAAAGAGCCCGAUUCCGACCCGAGAGGCCGCGGCAAGAGGCGGCCUCGAAGUCGGUGGAUCCUCCUGCUCGAAAGGCGGGGUGCUAAACCAUUCGCAGACGACCUAGUUGAAGAUCGGGGUGUCGUGAUCACUAGAGCAGUACAUCUCACUGCGAUUUGUUGAGAGU